GUGGCUAUUAGUCUCUUAUAUGGGCCGAACAACCCAACCGCAGCUGAGGAGAAAAAGUCUGAUCCAGGACUCUUCUCCACCUUCCUUCAAAAAAGGACUCUUCUUCAAUCCGUCCUCCGGUCUCGAGGAAUCCUCUUCGGCGAUGGCAACUCCUCCGCCCUCCUCCUAUAAGAACCUCCUCCUCGCGCGAGCCACCUGAUUUGCUGAGAUCGUGGUAACACGCAAGUGCGGCGCGGAGCUCGCUCAAGGUCGAUGCGCCCCGUGGUGGUGGCGUUCGAGGCGGGUCGGCCCGAGCUGGGUCGAUCCAACCGCCGUCGCCAGCCAUGUGUUCUUGAUCCCGUGGACGACCUCAGCGACAACAAGCAGGAUAGCUACGAUGAAUUGUGGACGGGCCCAGCAGCGUCCUAUGUGCGGGCGCCGGCGACGUUCUUCGCCUUGUGGACGUGCUCCACGUCGAUCCCGGCGAGGACGUCUACAUCUCCGUCCCCAGGGCUUCUAUCGACACCACGAGGUCACCGACAUCACCGCUGGAUGCGCCACAUCUUUCCCUCCCCUACUUCUAGCCAAUGGGCUGCUGCUCUCCUAGACGAGCUACGGUGGCCGCCCACAAGGUGUUUGACGGAAUUCCCAUCAAGGAUGGCAUCACUUGGGCGACCAUAGACUUCGAUGGAGGUUUCCACGACGAAGCAGUAGUUCGGCCUGCUACGCCGGACGCGAGGUUGCCAUCAAGAUGUCAGCAAGCCAUUUAAAGCUGGAAGGAGUGAUAUGAUUCAUGCCUCUUCACACUGUAUACAAUCUGAUGAAGAGGGAAUCAAGGUUCUCUUCUUCUGUCCUGUGAAUAUUUUGUUUUCUAUUUGUAGAAAAACAAAGCAGCAAGCCUCCUCGCAGCUUCCAUUAAAAACCCAUGUGCCAGAAAGUUCUUAGCAUGAAACCAAGUACUACCACAUUUCUGAACUGUGUAUUUUAGUGAAAUCUCUUGGAGUUUAUGGAUCUGGUGGAACAAAUAUUGUUUAGACAUGAUUGUUUUUCUCCAUAGUUACUUUCUAAAUCAUUAUUAUUAUUCUCCUAAUAGUAUACUCUCCAUUUCAUAAAAGUGCAAUUUGAUUUGAGAAUCCGGGGAUGGACGAGACAGGUUUGUACCAAACAAUUUCCUCGGAAAUUUCUUACAAUCCCCUACAAAAUAGACAGUAUGACUAUUAGGAGAACUGUUUGCAAGGGGAUGGACGAGACAGGUUUGUACCAAACAACUUCCUUGGAAAUUUCUUACAAUCCCCUACAAAAUGGACAGUAUGACUAUUAGGAGAACUGUUUGCAAGGGGAUGGACGAGACAUGUUUGUACCAAGCAAUUUCCUUGGGAGUUCUUACAAUCCCCUACAGAACCAUCCUUUUCUUUGUAGGGAAGCAAAUAUUUUGGGUUGUAUCAUACUAACGUGAGACGGAAUGGAUCAGUAUGAGGUGUUGGAUCAGACUUGGAAGGGCUCUUUGGCUCUACACUCCAGGUAUGUCUCCAAGGUUGCAAGGGAUAUGACAUUGCCUUUGUUGUGCUCGGGAAUAAGUGGUCAUGAAAAAUACAGCUCCGCAACUCUGCAACCAAAAAAGCUCUCUGAACUUGCCGCUGAUUCAUCUAACUGCUCCUGCUGCUCUUGGCUGCCUUCGGAUGAAGGUACUGCUUCGGUGCUAGAUUGGAUGGAUAAGCAAGAAAGCAAACCGAAUGGGAAAAGAUUGGGAGCAUAUGCAUUGGUUUG